GGGCUUGUGGUUUAGUGGUAUAAUACUCCCUUAGCAUGGGAGUGGUCCGGGGUUCGGUAAGUUCA
rnacentral:tRNA from 1 species